rnacentral:misc_RNA from 1 species
GCCCUCACAGAGAUUACGAAGCUGCUCCAAUCCAAAAGAGUUGCAUGUCUUUUCCACAUCAUCCUCCGUUAGAUCAAGCAAAGAAUCUGAGACUAGUGAUACUGAUAACGUGCGAAGGCGAGUCUUCUCCUUGCGCAAGAGCUUCUUCUCCUUUUCCUUUAUCUUCUUAUUAAUCACAGCAGCCUCUGCUGCUUUUUUUUCAUCCUCCUCCUUGCGGAGCCGCUCCUCCUCAACAGCUCUAGCUGCCUCCUCCUCCUGCAAUUUCUUUGCCAUAUACUUCGCCUCUUUUCUCCUCUGCUUCUCUGCUUUCUCCUGUUCCUUUCUCCGAAGGAGUCUUGGGUCCCUCUUGUAAGCAUUAUCAAUAAGGGAACGAACACGUGCAUACUCUUCCUUCCUUGCCUUUUCUCUCAGCUUUGCAUUCUGCCUUUCCAUCCAUCUCUUAUGAUCACGAGACUCUGAUUGCUCUAGCUCGAACUCAUCUGCAUGUGGGAACUCCCUCCAGCUCUUAAAUGCAUACCAAAAGUCGUAAAAGUUGUCCACCUCUUCCAGUGAAGUUUUAUCUUCCCCCAAGGAAGGAACUGGCUGGACUACAGACCAUUUCCCGUUCCUCAUAAAU